UUUUGUCCUCACAGUAAGAAGUAUUGGGCCGAGAGAGUGCUCAAAAAUAGCCCAAGAAAGGGUAUAAAGAAGUUUCGGAAUUCGCAUCAAUGGCGACUUCAGAAUCGGUACCUCCAGAACCCGAUAAUCACCUUACCUCUCUCGUUUACGAAAUAUCAAAUGAAGUCCAGGCGAUUAUGGAGAACAUGCUUAAGAUGAUCACGUGA